CGCGUAGGCGGACAGUUAAGUCAGAGGUAAAAGCCCAGGGCUCAACCUUGGAACCGCCUUUGAUACUGGCUGUCUUGAGUACGGGAGAGGUGUGUGGAACUCCGAGUGUAGAGGUGAAAUUCGUAGAUAUUCGGAAGAACACCAGUGGCGAAGGCGACACACUGGCCCGUUACUGACGCUGAGGCGCGAAAGCGUGGGGAGCAAACAGGAUUAGAUACCCUGGUAGUCCACGCUGUAAACGAUGAGUGCUAGUUGUCGGCAGGCAUGCCUGUCGGUGACGCAGCUAACGCAUUAAGCACUCCGCCUGGGGAGUACGGUCGCAAGAUUAAA
rnacentral:rRNA from 1 species